rnacentral:tRNA from 1 species
GGCUGUGUGGUCUAGUGGUAUGGUUCUCGCUUUGGGUGCGAGAGGUCUCGAGUUUGAUUCUCGACUUAGCCC